CAGAGGUUUUCCAUGCGGGCACGGAAGAACCAAUGGUGUUUGCCAUCAAUCAAACCUGAAGAUGAAUACAUUUCAGUCUGUUCCUCACACAAAGUUAUCAUGUGGCUUUAUAAGACUUGGAAUAUAGUGCAUAAAUUCUUGACAGACUUGCUCUCCAUGAACUGUCCUGAAAUGGAAAAGAACUGCAUGAACAUUCUUCAGAAUUGACCCACGUACUUUAAUAAAAGCAACACAAAGGAGCUCGAGCGGACGACUCUCACAUGAGAGAGAGAGAGAGAGAGAGACGGUUUAUGAAGCUCCUUUCAGUUCUUUUCUAUCGGCUGGAAAGCGCUGGAUCGUGGAUGGCAGACGGCAGCAUCCUCUUAGUGAGCAGACAGGAGACAGACGACCAUCUCUAAGAUCGCUCAUCUUCCUCAUGUUAAAGCUCCAGAGACAGUUCACCUCACCAGACAUUUCAGUGGAUUUUAACUAGAUAUGAAGGAAAUGUGAGUGGUGUUGUCCUUAUUAAAAUGCAUAUGAGCAACAUUAGUGAUGCUUGGUUUAACAAACAACAUUAAAUACGGGUAGUUUGUGUGACACUUUAUUCUGAUAGUCCACUUCAGACGUUCAACUGACUAUAAGUAACUUUGCAAAUACAUGUCAACUUAUUCUACUAACCGCUCUCUAAAAAAUGCUGGGUCAAAAACAACCCAAGUUGGGUUAAAAAUGGACGAAACCCAGGUUGUUUUAACCCAGCGAUUGGGUUGUUUUAACCCGGUUUGACUCAAUCUGCUGGGUAGUUUUAUUUAACUCAACUAUUGUUUAAAAAUUACUGUAUUGCUUGUUUAAAAUGAACCCAAAAUAUGUUGGAAGUUUAAUGAAUAAGAAUUAAACAAUAAACAUUUAUUAAACUGCUUAUUAAUCAAUGUUCACCUUUUGAUUGUUAUUGUUUCCUCUAGUAAUUAUGUGUCUGAUUUUUAAUUUCCAACCUAUUUUGGGUUCAUUUUAAGCCAGACAUAUAGUCAUUUUUAAUCAAUAGUUGAGGUAAAUAAAACUGCGCAGCACGUUGGUCAAACAUUUAACCCAACCGCUGGGUUUGUCCAUUUUCAACCCAACUUGGGUUGUUUUUAACCCAGUAUUUCAACAGUGAGUUACUGUAGUUGCAAAGUUACUUAGAAUGUCUAACGUAAACUAAAGUGUAAAUGCGUUUUUAAUUAUAUUUUUAAAAUGUUUUGGUUACACUUUAUUUUAAGGUGUCUUAAGACCGUAAUUAUACAUUUAAGUACUGAGUAAUAUUAAGUACUUACUAUACACUAAAAAUGCUGGGUUAAAAACAACCCAAGUUGGGUUAAAAAUGGACAAA